rnacentral:rRNA from 1 species
GAUGAACGCUGGCGGCGUGCCUAAUACAUGCAAGUCGAGCGAACAGAUAAUGAGCUUGCUCCUUUGCCGUUAGCGGCGGACGGGUGAGUGACACAUGGAUAACCAACCUAUAAGACUGGGGUCAAUUCGUGAAACCGGAGCCAAUACCAGAGAAUCUAUUGCACCGCAUGGUUCAAUAGUGCAUGGCGGCUUUGCUGUCACUUAUAGAUGGAUCCGCGUCGUAUUAGCUAGUUGGUAAGGUAACGGCUUACCAAGGCAACGCUACGUAGCCGACCUGAGAGGGUGAUCGGCCACACUGGAACUGAGACACGGUCCAGACUCCUACGGGAGGCAGCAGUAGGGAAUCUUCCGCAAUGGGCGAAAGCCUGAUGGAGCAACGCCGCGUGAGUGAUGAAGGUCUUCGGAUCGUAAAACUCUGUUAUCAGGGAAGAACAAAUGUGGAAGUAACUGUGCACGUUUUGACGGUACCUAAUCAGAAAGCCACGGCUAACUACGUG